ACAAAGGAGUUAUCCUGCAGCGAAGUAAACAUGAAGGUAGCAAUUGCCCUUUUUUAUAUUGGGAUAUGCAUGGUUGUUGGUGCGCCAGAAAAGACCUUUCCGUGUGACUUCAAUCUUUAUGAUAAAACGAAGGACGGCAAAAUAACAAGGGCGGAGUUUUUCAAAUACACCGACAUUCAUGGAUAUAACGCCGAACACAGUAGCAUAGUUUUUAGGACUCUGGAUUCAAAUGCUGAUGGUCAAAUAGAAGUCAGUGAGUUUGUCGCCAAUGCCCCGAUUCUCCGGAAGCUAUCGUUAAUUGAACGUUGCACGCGUGGCAGCUUCAUAAUCAAAAUAACAUGGAAUUUAGCGUCUGCUGGCCCUCUUCAAUCUGCGAUGAACUCUAACAAUUUACAAGGACCUGAAAUAUUACAAAACGGCUUACAAAACCCUGAAAUGAUCGGUAGCUCAUCUCUCCUUCAGAACCAACUUGGAUAGAUAUUCAAACAGGGACAAUCUAGAUUCCAUUGUUGAAAAUAACUUGUUUAAAUAUAUACCUGAGGCAAUUAAAGCAAUUUACUG
rnacentral:sRNA from 1 species